rnacentral:rRNA from 1 species
AGGUGGCUUUUGGGCUGUCGCAGAUGGAUGAGCCUGCGUUGGAUUAGCUAGUUGGUGGGGUAAGGGCCUACCAAGGCUACGAUCCAUAGCUGAUUUGAGAGGAUGAUCAGCCACAUUGGGACUGAGACACGGCCCAAACUCCUGCGGGAGGCAGCAGUGAGGAAUAUUGGACAAUGGGGGCAACCCUGAUCCAGCAAUGCCAUGUGUGUGAAGAAGGCCUUAGGGUUGUAAAGCACUUUAGUUGGGGAAGAAAGCUUUGAGGUUAAUAGCCUUGAGGAAAAGGACGUUACCCAAAGAAUAAGCACCGGCUAACUCCGUGCCAGCAGCCGCGGUAAUACGGGGGGUGCAAGCGUUAAUCGGAAUUACUGGGCGUAAAGGGUCUGUAGGUGGUUUGUUAAGUCAGAUGUGAAAGCCUAGGGCUCAACCUUGGAACUGCAUUUGAUACUGGUAAACUAGAGUACGGUAGAGGAAUGGGGAAUUUCUGGUGUAGCGGUGAAAUGCGUAGAGAUCAGAAGGAACACCAAUGGCGAAGGCAACAUUCUGGACCGAUACUGACACUGAGGGACGAAAGCGUGGGGAUCAAACAGGAUUAGAUACCCUGGUAGUCCACGCUGUAAACGAUGAGUACUAGCUGUUGGAGUCGGUGUAAAGGCUCUAGUGGCGCAGCUAACGCGAUAAGUACUCCGCCUGGGGACUACGGCCGCAAGGCUAAAACUCAAAGGAAUUGACGGGGACCCGCACAAGCGGUGGAGCAUGUAGUUUAAUUCGAUGCAACGCGAAGAACCUUACCUGGUCUUGACAUCCUGCGAUCUUUCUAGAGAUAGAUUGGUGCCUUCGGGAACGCAGUGACAGGUGCUGCACGGCUGUCGUCAGCUCGUGUUGUGAAAUGUUGGGUUAAGUCCCGCAACGAGCGCAACCCCUAUUGAUAGUUACCAUCAUUAAGUUGGGUACUCUAUUAAGACUGCCGCUGACAGGCGGAGAAGGUGGGGACGACGUCA